rnacentral:lncRNA from 1 species
UGCCCUUCAAAUGACGAUCUUUCUCUGUAAGCUUCAACUUGGCGCGCCCUGAAAAUAAGGCGCGCCCUAUCUUCUUGAACUGGUCUCUUCUGACUGACAUGGCUAGUUUGGGCUUGGUCCAAUGUUGAGCCCAUCAUAGUCUUCUUUUAUGGGCCAGGUCUUCAUGGUGAUUUUUGCGUAUAACAACUACCCCCCAGAUCUUGGUGGCAUUGAAAAUGUCGACGAGAUCUUCAUGUCCUUCAGCCCUUGAGAUGUCCUAUCUUGGUUGUUCUUCGUUGAUGCAGAAGAUGUUGACGGUAUAUAACUAGGCGCGCCAUAUGUUGAAGGAGAUUCCUUUGAAGCCGAUGUUGAAGAAGUUGUUUGAAGAUGAUGAUAAUUCUGCUUGACGGAGGUGAAGGCAGUACUUGCUUGAUGGAUAUGAAAGUAGUGCUUGCCUGAUGGAGACGAUGAUGAGGUUGUUGAGGAUGAGGCCGUGGAAGCCGAGACUGAGUCGAUGAAGAUGAGGCUGCGGAAGCCGAGGCUGAAGGAGAGGCCGCGGAAGCCAAGACUGAGUUGAUGAAGAUGAGGCCGCGGAAGCCGAGGCUGAAGGAGAGAUGAGGCCGCGGAAGCCGAGGCUGAAGGAGAGGCCGCGGAAGCCAAAGAUGAAGGAGAGGCCGCGGAAGCCAAGAAUGAAGGAGAGAUGAGGCUGCGGAAGCCAAGGCUGGAGAUGAGGCCGCGGAGGCCGAUGCUGGAGAUGAGGCCGCGGAAGCCGAGGAUGAAGUAGAAGAACGUGCCUUCUACCACGUCUUAGAUGAGGAUGAGGCGCGCCCUUUUUAUCCAAAUCCUUCUUCUAAUUUGUAUGAUCACCCCCCAGUUUCGGAGUAUGAGCUUGACUUGAAGAUGCAGGUUGGAGAAGACAGUGUUGCGAAGAUGUGUUGUGAUAUAUUUUUACUCUGAAUCUUGAAGACUGAAGUGUUGGAUGUGUCUCUGUAUACAAUUAUAUUUAGCAAAAUAAUAAGGUUAGUAUUUACCUCAUGACGCGCCCUGUUAGGGGAAGGCGCGCCCCAUUUUCUCUCCUUCGCAUUAUCCCUAGCUCUUUCCUUUACUUUCGGCCAAAGAUUUUGUCCCAUCUCCUUAUAUGCUUCACCCUUGAGACCUUAUGGUGUGCCUUGUUAGGCUAGACAUUUUUUCCAGAAAAAGUUUCCAAGAGAGUACGUCCGGGACAUGUCUCUUGAAAAUAUUGUCCCUGCAAAAUACUUAAUUGAAAACACUGAUACCCUAAAAAUUAGGUAGCACUUUGAUAGUCAUUCUUAGUUAAAAACAGCUUAAUAAAACAAAAACAUCAGGAGCUAAAUAAGAAACGAACGAUAUAUAUUAAUUAUAACAACCAUCUACAUCAACAAUAUAAUAAAAACAUUUACAAUAUAAUAAUACAUUUAUAUAUUAUAGAAAAUAAGGAAAAACUUAUCUCUGUUAGUGAGUGUCUCAUCCAAAAUUAAAUAUGGCAAAGACACAGUAGAAUAUAGCUCCCAUGCACCCGCAUUGGUUACCUGACUUGAUCACAUGAGUUGAGUCCACCUAUAUAAAUUUUUUGAACUACACAAUAGUACUUAAAAACAAAACUUAUUAGCGUGAACACAUAUAAUAUGCUCAAAAAUGAUAUAAGAUAUUUUUACUUUUAAGAAUAAAAGCAAAUAUGUAAUAUGAAGAUUAUCUGAAAUAGAUGCGGCAAAUAAUAGAAAUUAGAAAACUUAUCCUAUUUUAUUCGUGCCAAAUUUGGAGACGGAUACUCCGGAAGGAUUUCGUGCUUUUCACCUGUGCUAACUGUAUGUACCAUAAUUCACCAGUUCUCCACAUCUGUCUCUUUAGUACAAAAUCAAUUUAAUUACGCAUGUCACAAAAGGGCCGAAAUUAUAAAAUAAAAUUUAAUUUUGAGUUUACACAACAAAUUUCAAAUUAAUGUAAUAAUAUGUCAAGCAAAAUCCACGCAUGAACAUUAGUUAGUAUAAUAUGUACUGCAUGACAAAAUAUUAUUAAUGCAUGGCACGAUUAUUUAUGCGAUAUGAAAAUUAGUAUAAGAAAACUUAUCAUUCGGCUGUUGGAAGUUGGAAUCGCCACCGGCUGACUCCGAGCUCCUCUGUUUUAUUAACUGGCUGGUUGAUUCUAAACACUCUGCAGUAACUUUCCUUUUCACCGACGGUCCAGGACAUCCACUUUGCUUUUUGUUUUCUUUUCUGCGAGGCACGCUACAAAUCAUAUUAAAAACCGGUUAGGUAAUAAACUCCUAAACAAUCUCUAACUUCAAUAUUAAAAAUUAGUUUAUAAAGUAAAUCAUAAUAAUAUUUAAGAUAUAUUGAUCAGUGAGUAGAAAAUAUAAUAUAACUAAAACAAGAUUAUAUUAAUUCAACAUGCAAAUUAAAUUAUGUUUAUAAAAUAUAUAUAACUCGCAACUUAUCAUAAAAAUAUUUUUGGAACAGGACCUAUGCAGUAUGAUAAACAAAUAACUUAAUAAGC